GGUGGCUCAGUGGUAGAGUGCUUGCCUCAUGUGCAUAAGGGCCUGGGUUCAAUUCCUCAGCACCA
rnacentral:tRNA from 1 species